CACGUAGGGUGCGAGCGUUGUCCGGAAUUAUUGGGCGUAAAGAGCUCGUAGGCGGUGUGUCGCGUCGGCCGUGAAAACCUGUGGCUUAACCAUGGGCUUGCGGUCGAUACGGGCAUCACUGGAGUUCGGCAGGGGAGACUGGAAUUCCUGGUGUAGCGGUGAAAUGCGCAGAUAUCAGGAGGAACACCGGUGGCGAAGGCGGGUCCCUGGGCCGAUACUGACGCUGAGGAGCGAAAGCGUGGGGAGCGAACAGG
rnacentral:rRNA from 1 species